AAACCGCGAAUGGCUCAUUAAAUCAGUUAUGGUUCACUAGAUCGUAUCAAUCCUACAUGGAUAACUGUGGUAAUUCUAGAGCUAAUACAUGCAAUGAAGCCGUUCUGGCCUCGUGUCAGCGGCGCAGUUAUUAGAUUAAAACCAAUAUGGGCUUUCGGGUCCAUUAAACUUGUGUUGAAUCUGAAUAACCGAAGCAGAGCGCAUGGCCUCGAGCCGGCGCCAGAUCUUUCAAGUGUCUGAUCUAUCAGCCUGUCGUUAGGUUAUGUUCCUAACGUGGCUUCGACGGGUAACGGGGUAUCAGGGUCCGAUACCGGAGAGGGAGCCUGAGAAAUGGCUACCACAUCCAAGGAAGGCAGCAGGCGCGCAAAUUACCCACUCCCAGCUCGGGGAGGUAGUGACGAAAAAUAACGAUGCGGGAGCAUAAUGCUUCCCGUAAUCGGAAUGAGUACACUUUAAAUCCUUUAACGAGGAUCAAUUGGAGGGCAAGUCUGGUGCCAGCAGCCGCGGUAAUUCCAGCUCCAAUAGCGUAUAUUAAAGUUGCUGCGGUUAAAAAGCUCGUAGUUGGAUCUGGGUGCUUCGAUGAGUGGUGCAUCUAUUCGAUGUCUUCGAUACUCCAUCGACAUCACAAGCCAACCAUGUCCUUCUAUACCCUUCACUGGGCGUAGAUAAUGGGCGGUUUGAACGUUUACUUUGAAAAAAUUAGAGUGCUCAAAGCAGGUGUAUGGCCUUGAAUAAUGGUGCAUGGAAUAAUGGAAUAGGACCUCGGUUCUAUUUGUUGGUUUUCAAGAGCUCGAGAUAAUGAUAAAGAGGAACAGACGGGGGCAUUCGUAUUGCGACGUUAGAGGUGAAAUUCUUGGAUCGUCGCAAGACGAACUACUGCGAAAGCACUUGCCAAGAAUGUUUUCACUAAUCAAGAACGAAAGUUAGAGGUUCGAAGGCGAUCAGAUACCGCCCUAGUUCUAACCAUAAACGAUGCCAACCAGCAAUCUGUCGGUGUUUAUUUAACGACUCGACAGGCAGCUUCCGGGAAAC
rnacentral:rRNA from 1 species